rnacentral:rRNA from 1 species
UACGUAGGGUGCAAGCGUUAUCCGGAAUUAUUGGGCGUAAAGAGCUCGUAGGCGGUUUGUCACGUCUGCUGUGAAAACUGGAGGCUCAACCUCCAGCCUGCAGUGGGUACGGGCAGACUAGAGUGCGGUAGGGGAGAUUGGAAUUCCUGGUGUAGCGGUGGAAUGCGCAGAUAUCAGGAGGAACACCGAUGGCGAAGGCAGGUCUCUGGGCCAUUACUGACGCUGAGAAGCGAAAGCGUGGGGAGCAAACAGG